CCUACGGGUGGCUGCAGUGGGGAAUAUUGCACAAUGGGGGAAACCCUGAUGCAGCGACGCCGCGUGAAGGAAGAAGUAUUUCGGUAUGUAAACUUCUAUCAGCAGGGAAGAAAAUGACGGUACCUGACUAAGAAGCCCCGGCUAACUACGUGCCAGCAGCCGCGGUAAUACGUAGGGGGCAAGCGUUAUCCGGAUUUACUGGGUGUAAAGGGAGCGUAGGCGGCGAUGCAAGUCAGAAGUGAAAGCCCGUGGCUCAACUCCGGGACUGCUUUUGAAACUGUAUGGCUAGAUUGCAGGAGAGGCAAGUGGAAUUCCGGGUGUAGCGGUGAAAUGCGUAGAUAUUAGGAGGAACACCAGUGGCGAAGGCGGGUUGCUGGACUGUAAAUGACGCUGAGGCUCGAAAGCGUGGGGAGCAAACAGGAUUAGAUACCCUAGUAGUC
rnacentral:rRNA from 1 species